rnacentral:rRNA from 1 species
GACGUAGGGCGCAAGCGUUGUCCGGAUUUAUUGGGCGUAAAGAGCUCGUAGGCGGCUUGUUGCGUCGGCUGUGAAAUCCCGGGGCUUAACUCCGGGCGUGCAGCCGAUACGGGCAGGCUAGAGUCCGGUAGGGGAGACUGGAAUUCCUGGUGUAGCGGUGAAAUGCGCAGAUAUCAGGAGGAACACCGGUGGCGAAGGCGGGUCUCUGGGCCGGUACUGACGCUAAGGAGCGAAAGCGUGGGGAGCGAACAGG